rnacentral:rRNA from 1 species
CCUACGGGAGGCAGCAGUGGGGAAUUUUGGACAAUGGGCGAAAGCCUGAUCCAGCAAUGCCGCGUGAGUGAAGAAGGCCUUCGGGUUGUAAAGCUCUUUUGUCAGGGAAGAAACGGUGAGGGCUAAUAUCCCUUGCUAAUGACGGUACCUGAAGAAUAAGCACCGGCUAACUACGUGCCAGCAGCCGCGGUAAUACGUAGGGUGCAAGCGUUAAUCGGAAUUACUGGGCGUAAAGCGUGCGCAGGCGGUUUUGUAAGUCUGUCGUGAAAUCCCCGGGCUCAACCUGGGAAUUGCGAUGGAGACUGCAAGGCUAGAAUCUGGCAGAGGGGGGUAGAAUUCCACGUGUAGCAGUGAAAUGCGUAGAGAUGUGGAGGAACACCGAUGGCGAAGGCAGCCCCCUGGGUCAAGAUUGACGCUCAUGCACGAAAGCGUGGGGAGCAAACAGGAUUAGAUACCCUGGUAGUCCACGCCCUAAACGAUGUCUACUAGUUGUCGGGUUUUAAUUAACUUGGUAACGCAGCUAACGCGUGAAGUAGACCGCCUGGGGAGUACGGUCGCAAGAUUAAAACUUAAAGAAUUAGACGG